rnacentral:rRNA from 1 species
UUGGUGGGGUAACGGCUCACCAAGCCGACGAUCGGUAGCCGGACUGAGAGGUCGAACGGCCACAUUGGGACUGAGAUACGGCCCAGACUCCUACGGGAGGCAGCAGUGGGGAAUAUUGGGCAAUGGGGGAAACCCUGACCCAGCGACGCCGCGUGAAGGACGAAGGCUUUCGGGUUGUAAACUUCUUUGGGGAGGGACGAAAUUGACGGUACCUCCAGAACAAGCCACGGCUAACUACGUGCCAGCAGCCGCGGUAAUACGUAGGUGGCAAGCGUUAUCCGGAUUUACUGGGUGUAAAGGGCGCGCAGGCGGUUCUGAAAGUCAGAUGUGAAAGAUCAAGGCUUAACUUUGACAGGUCAUCUGAAACUUUGGGACUUGAGUAUCAGAGGGGAAAGUGGAAUUCCUGGUGGAGCGGUAAAAUGCGCAGAGAUCAGGAGGAACACCGGUGGCGAAGGCGACUUUCUGGCUGACAACUGACGCUGAGGCGCGAAAGCGUGGGGAGCAAACAGGAUUAGAUACCCUGGUAGUCCACGCCGUAAACGAUGAUUACUGGGUGUAGGGGGUAUCGACUCCCUCUGU